rnacentral:rRNA from 1 species
AGAGUUUGAUCCUGGCUCAGGAUGAACGCUAGCUACAGGCUUAACACAUGCAAGUCGAGGGGCAGCAUGAACAAAGCUUGCUUUGUUUGAUGGCGACCGGCGCACGGGUGAGUAACGCGUAUCCGACCUGCCCAUGACUCGGGCACAGCCGCUCGAAAGAGCGAUUGAUUCCCGAUAUGUCCAUGAAGUAGAUUCAUGGAUGAAAGAUUCAUCGGUCAUGGAUGGGGAUGCGUAGGAUUAGGUAGUAGGCGGGGUAACGGCCCACCUAGCCGACGAUCAUUAGGGGUUCUGAGAGGAAGGUCCCCCACACUGGUACUGAGACACGGACCAGACUCCUACGGGAGGCAGCAGUGAGGAAUAUUGGUCAAUGGGCGAGAGCCUGAACCAGCCAAGUCGCGUGAAGGAUGACUGAUCUAUGGUUUGUAAACUUCUUUUAUAAGGGAAUAAAGUGCAGCACGUGUGCUGUUUUGUAUGUACCUUAUGAAUAAGCAUCGGCUAACUCCGUGCCAGCAGCCGCGGUAAUACGGAGGAUGCGAGCGUUAUCCGGAUUUAUUGGGUUUAAAGGGUGCGUAGGCGGGUUGAUAAGUCAGUGGUGAAAGUUUGCGGCUCAACCGUAAAAUUGCCGUUGAAACUGUCGAUCUUGAGUGCAAACGAGGCAGGCGGAAUGCGCCGUGUAGCGGUGAAAUGCUUAGAUAUGGCGCAGAACCCCGAUUGCGAAGGCAGCUUGCCAGCAUGCAACUGACGCUGAGGCACGAAAGCGUGGGUAUCAAACAGGAUUAGAUACCCUGGUAGUCCACGCAGUAAACGAUGAAUGCUAGCUGUUUGCGAUAUAGUGUAAGCGGCACAGCGAAAGCGUUAAGCAUUCCACCUGGGGAGUACGACCGCAAGGUUGAAACUCAAAGGAAUUGACGGGGGCCCGCACAAGCGGAGGAACAUGUGGUUUAAUUCGAUGAUACGCGAGGAACCUUACCCGGGCUUGAACUGCGGUGGACCGGUCCAGAGAUGGGCUUUCCCUUCGGGGCCGCCGUGGAGGUGCUGCAUGGUUGUCGUCAGCUCGUGCCGUGAGGUGUCGGCUUAAGUGCCAUAACGAGCGCAACCCUUUCCGUCAGUUGCCAUCAGGUAAUGCUGGGGACUCUGUCGGUACUGCCAUCGUAAGAUGUGAGGAAGGUGGGGAUGACGUCAAAUCAGCACGGCCCUUACGUCCGGGGCUACACACGUGUUACAAUGGGGGGGUACAGAAGGCCGCUACCCGGCGACAGGAUGCCAAUCUCAAAAAGCCUCUCUCAGUUCGGAUCGGAGUCUGCAACUCGACUCCGUGAAGCUGGAUUCGCUAGUAAUCGCGCAUCAGCCAUGGCGCGGUGAAUACGUUCCCGGGCCUUGCACACACCGCCCGUCA